rnacentral:rRNA from 1 species
CCUGUCCAACGUUAAUCGGGGCAGGGUGAGUCGACCCCUAAGGCGAGGCCGAAAGGCGUAGUCGAUGGGAAACGGGUUAAUAUUCCCGUACUUGGUGUUACUGCGAAGGGGGGACGGAGAAGGCUAUGUUGGCCGGGCGACGGUUGUCCCGGUUUAAGCGUGUAGGUGUGUGUUCCAGGUAAAUCCGGUUCACUUUAACACUGAGGCGUGAUGACGAGGCACUACGGUGCUGAAGCAACAAAUGCCCUGCUUCCAGGAAAAGCCUCUAAGCAUCAGGUAACAUCAAAUCGUACCCCAAACCGACACAGGUGGUCAGGUAGAGAAUACCAAGGCGCUUGAGAGAACUCGGGUGAAGGAACUAGGCAAAAUGGUGCCGUAACUUCGGGAGAAGGCACGCUGACACGUAGGUGAAGUGAUUUACUCAUGGAGCUGAAGUCAGUCGAAGAUACCAGCUGGCUGCAACUGUUUAUUAAAAACACAGCACUGUGCAAACACGAAAGUGGACGUAUACGGUGUGACGCCUGCCCGGUGCCGGAAGGUUAAUUGAUGGGGUCAGCGCAAGCGAAGCUCCUGAUCGAAGCCCCGGUAAACGGCGGCCGUAACUAUAACGGUCCUAAGGUAGCGAAAUUCCUUGUCGGGUAAGUUCCGACCUGCACGAAUGGCGUAAUGAUGGCCAGGCUGUCUCCACCCGAGACUCAGUGAAAUUGAACUCGCUGUGAAGAUGCAGUGUACCCGCGGCAAGACGGAAAGACCCCGUGAACCUUUACUAUAGCUUGACACUGAACAUUGAGCCUUGAUGUGUAGGAUAGGUGGGAGGCUUUGAAGUGUGGACGCCAGUCUGCAUGGAGCCGGCCUUGAAAUACCACCCUUUAAUGUUUGAUGUUCUAACGUGGACCCGUGAUCCGGGUUGCGGACAGUGUCUGGUGGGUAGUUUGACUGGGGCGGUCUCCUCCUAAAGAGUAACGGAGGAGCACGAAGGUUGGCUAAUCCUGGUCGGACAUCAGGAGGUUAGUGCAAUGGCAUAAGCCAGCUUGACUGCGAGCGUGACGGCGCGAGCAGGUGCGAAAGCAGGUCAUAGUGAUCCGGUGGUUCUGAAUGGAAGGGCCAUCGCUCAACGGAUAAAAGGUACUCCGGGGAUAACAGGCUGAUACCGCCCAAGAGUUCAUAUCGACGGCGGUGUUUGGCACCUCGAUGUCGGCUCAUCACAUCCUGGGGCUGAAGUAGGUCCCAAGGGUAUGGCUGUUCGCCAUUUAAAGUGGUACGCGAGCUGGGUUUAGAACGUCGUGAGACAGUUCGGUCCCUAUCUGCCGUGGGCGCUGGAGAACUGAGGGGGGCUGCUCCUAGUACGAGAGGACCGGAGUGGACGCAUCACUGGUGUUCGGGUUGUCAUGCCAAUGGCACUGCCCGGUAGCUAAAUGCGGAAGAGAUAAGUGCUGAAAGCAUCUAAGCACGAAACUUGCCCCGAGAUGAGUUCUCCCUGAGACUUUAGGUCUCCUGAAGGAACGUUGAAGACGACGACGUUGAUAGGCCGGGUGUGUAAGCGCAGCGAUGCGUUGAGCUAACCGGUACUAAUGAACCGUGAGGCUUAACCUUACA